rnacentral:rRNA from 1 species
CCUACGGGUGGCAGCAGUGAGGAAUAUUGGUCAAUGGACGAGAGCCUGAACCAGCCAAGUAGCGUGAAGGAAGACGGUCCUAUGGGUUGUAAACCUCUUUUACAGGGGAGUAAAAAGUUCCACGUGUGGGACAUCGUAUGUACCAUAAGAAUAAGGAUCGGCUAACUCCGUGCCAGCAGCCGCAGUAAUACGGAGGAUCCGAGCGUUAUCCGGAUUUAUUGGGUUUAAAGGGAGCGGAGGCGGUUUGUUAAGUCAGUUGUGAAAAUUUGCGGCUCAACCGUAAAAUUGCAGUUGAAACUGGCAGUCUUGAGUACGGUAGAGGUGGGCGGAAUUCGUGGUGUAGCGGUGAAAUGCAUAGAUAUCACGCAGAACUCCGAUUGCGAAGGCAGUUCACCGGACUCCAACUGACGCUCAGGCUCGAAAGUGUGGGUAUCAAACAGGAUUAGAUACCCGAGUAGUC